CGACCUUGGAAUGCUUUGUUUUGUUGCUAGCUCAGUUUCAGAUUUUAUCAAACUUUUAACAUAGCCAAUUGGAUUGUAUUAUCAUGCACUGAUUAUGGUUGGAAGGAAGGGUAGAAGGCACUGAUUUAGCACAUAAAGGAACUGCCUAGAGGGAUUUAGAAUAUAAUACAGUUUAUUUUUCCCCGACUGUCAGAAAAGAAAUUUCUGUUCCUUGUCUGUCUACCUAUUGGAUUUUUCCUUUUUAACUAAGGUUUUAUUCCCUAUACUAGUUAUUUAAGUGAAAAAAG
rnacentral:misc_RNA from 1 species